rnacentral:tRNA from 1 species
GAGCUUAUCGUUCAAUGGAUAGGACAGAAACCUUCUAAGUUUCCAAUGUAGGUUCAAUUCCUACUAAGCUCA